CUGGGGAUCUUGCGCACUGGGGGCAGCCUGAUGCACGCCAUGCCGCGUGAGUGAUGAAGGCCUUCGGGUUGUAACCUCUUUUGGCCGGGACGAAAGGGGGGGGGCUAAUACCCUUCGCUUUUGACGGUUCCGUCCCAAUAACCCCCGGGUAAAUACGUGCCAGCAGCCGCGGUA
rnacentral:rRNA from 1 species